GAACUGAAUUUUAGCGUUUGUCUGGUGGAGUAAAAAAAUUAUUAUUCAAUUUAAUUCUCCUUAAGCCCGCAACCAAGUGCAGUUAAUGUUUAAAUUUGCACUUCUUUCGCACCAGCCUCGUAAAAACAAACAAUAAAAUUGAUUGAAACUUAGAAUUUAAUGCUGCGAAGCAAAUGCUUUAAACCCUAGCAAAAAAAAAAAAAGGCAAAUGCUUUAAAAAAUUUAACGCAAGCAAAACUAUUUUCCAGGAUGAGUGUGAUACACAUCAGACUUUGAGAUUUGCGUCCGGCAGCGCCUGUGUAUUAUGUCCGAAGCCCUAAUUUCCAGCCCAAUGAAAGCAACUGGUACGCGAAACCCGGUUCCUGAUGCGCGACGAUGCCGCCACCAUUCCCGCCAUCCCGACCCCGACUUCCAAACAUUUGAAUUCCCUGUUCCCCCUCUGCCACUCUCUCCGCCUCCUCCGGCAGCUCCACGCUCGGAUCCUCCUCCAUGGCCUUCACCUCUCCGCCUUCUUCGGCUCCCGCCUCGCCCACGCCUACUUCGCCGCUGGCUCCCCGCAGGACGCCCGCCGGGCAUUCGACCAAAUCCUCGCCAAAACCCCCCACGCCUGGAACACUGUGCUCUCCGGUUACUUCAAAACCCGCAGCCUCUCCGAAGUACUGCAGCUCUACAAGCUCUCUCGCGUCGAGGGUAGCAGACCGGACAGCUUCUGUUUGGCCUUUGCUGUCCGGGCUUGCGCGGGACUCUCUCUUCUCGAACUGGGGAGGUCAAUUCACUUGGAAUCCAUACGAUCAGGUCUGGAGACGGAUGAAUUCGUCUCCCCUCCUCUCAUCGAUAUGUACCUCGAAUUCGGUUCUUUGGAAGACGCCGAGAAAGUCUUUGAUCGAGUUCCUGUUGCGAUUUCCCCUGUUUGGGGUCUCAUGAUGAAAGGGUACUUGAGGGAGUCCAUGGAAGUUCAGGUGUUUGGUUUAUUUGAUAGGAUGAAGGAGUUGGGAAUCGGAUUAGACCCUUGUUCGGCAGUCUGUCUGGCUCGGGCUUGCGGAAAUGUUGGCGCUGCUAAAGAGGGACGAAUGAUUCAUGGCCUCUGCAUAAAAAAGAACGUUUUGGAUUCUAAUAUCUAUCUGCAGACCUCACUGGUCGAUAUGUACGGGAAGAGUGGUUUCAUGGAUUUUGCACGGAGAUUGUUUGAUGAAAUGCCUCACAAGGAUGUCGUGUCUUGGAGCUCAAUGAUUGCUGGUCUGGCUCAAUGUGGGAGAGCACAUGAGUCGCUGUUGGUUUUUCAAGACAUGCUGGGAAACUCGAUAGCGCCGAAUGAGGUCACUCUUGCCAGCGUUCUUUUGGCUUGCUCGCACUUGGGAGCCCUGCAGCAAGGGAAGAGUGUCCAUGCAUACAUGGUCAGAAAUGAGGUUGAAUUGGAUGUUGUGACUAACACAGCUCUCCUCGACAUGUUUGCUAAAUGUGGAUCUAUGGACUUGGCGUACGAGGUGUUUAAUGCAAUGCCCGAAAGGAAUGUCUUUGCUUGGAGUGCGAUGAUUGGAGGGUUUGGCAUGCAUGGAAUGUGCGAGAGGGCGCUUGCUCUUUUUGAUGAAAUGAGGUCUGAGAAUCUUGCGCCCAAUUCUGUAACAUUUGUCUCAGUGCUAUCUGCAUGCAGCCAUUCAGGUAAGGUCCAAGAAGGGCGGUUCUACUUCGAGUCCAUGUGUAAGGACUAUAAAAUUACUCCAAAGAAUGAGCAUUACUCAUGUAUGGUUGAUCUCUUAGGCCGAGCAGGGCUAAUCGAGGAAGCUGAAUCGUUGAUCAAGGAAAUGCCGCAGGAGCCUAGUGCUAGUGUGUGGGGAGCUCUACUGGGUGCCUGUAGAAUUCAUAAACGGGUGGAAUUAACUGAGCAAGUGGCUAACAAACUCUUUGUUUUGGAGCCUGAUCUGCCAGGUACCCAUAUAUUGCUUUCAAAUAUCUAUGCUGCAGCUGAGAUGUGGGAUAUGGUGAGGAAGACAAGAGAGAUGAUGAAUGAGAGGGGAUUACAGAAAACAGUUGGUUUCAGCACAAUUGAAGUUGAUAAAAGGGUUUAUUUAUUUAAUGCGCUGAAUGGAAGGGACCACCGGCGUACAAGGAUUAUAGAGCUUUGGCAUGCGCUAAGUAAUGAAAUGAAAGAACUAGGUUAUGUACCAGAUUUAUCCUUUAUACUUCAUGACGUGGAGGCAAAAGAGGGGAUGCUUUGUGGUCAUAGCGAAAAGAUGGCAAUAGCUUUUGGGCUUCUGAAAACUAGAGAUGGGAUGCCACUGAGGAUAACAAAAAACUUGAGAGUUUGUGGAGAUUGCCACACUGCAAGUAAGUUUGUGUCUUUGAUUACAAAGAGAGAGAUAAUAAUGAGAGAUUCGAAGAGAUUUCAUCAUGUUAAAGAUGGUGUCUGCUCAUGCGGAGACUAUUGGUGAUAAAUUUCAACCCCUUGUAGUUCAUAUAGUUUCCAUUUAACAAAAUGACAUGAAUUCAUUUUUCCUUGGCAUUCUCGUUUGCUAAGUUUUGAUUGUAAUAAUCAGCAAAUGCUUGCAAAUUUUUGUUCCACUAUACUUUCCCAUCUUGUAAUGCACAUAAAACUUGGAAGGAUUGUUUUCCUAAUUGUCUGCUAGUGUGUGUUUAUUGAUAAUAGUUGAGAAUUUGAUGAUUGCAGACUGGACACACUCGGCAAAAGCAGUGUAAAAAUAUCAAAACCUUAGACAGGUUGAGUAAUCUACCUUUUUGCUCCAAAAAUAUGUAUCAAAUUUCGACGACCAAAUUUCUUGAUAACGAUUGUCAUUUCUUAGUUGACUUUGAGGAUCAGAUUGGCAGGAGGAAGGAAGAAACAAGAAACAUGGUAGCAAUCUUGCAAGCACAGCUAAUGCAACUGAAAGCUCAGUUGGCUCAUAGCAUUGCAGGGUCACAAUUGUCAGGUGAUCAGUGGCAAGGGAACAUCGCCGAUCCACUUCUCCAAUCAUACUCAAAUAUGCAGACUAUGUAUCCCAAGAGGUCUUUUGAUUGCGUGGAUUAUAGUUCAGGUGGACUGGCUAUGCAAGAGAUGGGCUCUAAGGAGGAUCUUCCUACCCAGCAUUGCACCAGGAGGAGGGCACCACACAAUGAGUUAGGGGAGCUUCAAGCUUUGGCUCUGAGGAUGAUGGGGAGCUGAUCCUCUUUCGCAUGAUGCGAUAAGAAUUGCUUACUGCUUGAUGUAUAUAAAUCUUAAGUAGUAUAGGGUGGUUUGAAUGUAGAAUCUAAUGUUACAGUUAAAAUAUCUGCCAACCUUCAAAGCUCCUUGUUCUCAACUUUCCAAUAAUAGGUCUAUUAGUUGGCUCGGCAUAAAUGGGGCCUUCAAA